AAAUAUUUUUGUUGAUUUGUUUAUGUUAUUGGGUUUAGUAUUAUGGGUUUAGGUUUUGGGUAAUGAUAUUUGUUUGGGUUUGACAAGUGGAUUAAUGACUUAUUUUUCUGGGUUGUUGGCAUGGGUUAGGGGAUAAAGCCCACAUAUUUUUUAGUUGGAUCUUGCUUGGACUUAAGAUAGGCUAGCCCGUUUGUUUUGCUUGGACUUCGAUUGGGCUAAGAGGAGUUUUGGCUCAAGAAAUUAAUAAAAUGGCCCCAUGGCCUAGUCCAUUAAGAAACCAGAGAACGCAUUUGCAGAUCAGUCCCUGUACUUUUCUUUAAUUUCACU
rnacentral:lncRNA from 1 species